rnacentral:lncRNA from 1 species
GCAGUGGAUCCCCUGCGGCAGCCCCUCGCGCCCUGUCAGAGCACCGCUCCAGCUGGUGACCCCAGGCCCGGGCUAAGCAGCCUGCAGGAGGCCGUGGCCGUGCUGAGGGGCUUCUUUCCACAGAUCCAACGUGCCCAGCCCGCUGCCAGCACUGCCGUGCACGAGGGCUGCUCUCAGGCACCGGAGCCAUGGCGCCAGGCGGCGGCGGAGGCUCCCGGCUUCAGAAACACCUGCACUCUGUCUAGACAGACUUCCCUGGCCAAAACAGAUACGGCAACAACCAGUUCAAAGCAUCCACUGCCUCUCCAACGCCGUGCUUCCCUUAGACAGCUUCCUGGGUUAUCAGACAAAACGAUCGCCCUCCCAGCGGUGAUGUCCCAUCCUGUGACAUUAAUGGCAGGAAAAUUUAAAGCCAAAGGAAUCUCUUGGCACAAUAUGUAAUUUGCCUGGGGAAAUUAGUUUCAAAAAGGAUCAGAAAGUUAAAUACUAUUGCUGGGCUUAAAGUGAAGGCGAAUAAUUUUAUAGCCAAAAUAAUGUUUUUCUAUGAUAAAUUAUGUAGAAGGAAGGAGUAAUAAAAUGUUGUGCUCCAGGGGAUAACGCCAUCCCGGUAAAGGUCAGGAAGUGCUCUUAAUGCACACGCACAUCGCCGUACAUUAGUCCAGGUGCAUUUUAAUCUGUGUGGAUUUGGGGUCUUUGAUUGGACACAGUGUUGGUCACUUGGGACUCCUUGAGGCCCAACACCUUGUUGACUGCACCAGGAGCCGACGUCCCUUUACGUGUGAGCCUGCAGUGUGCUCACUGUGCGUUACUCCCAUCAACGCACCGUCCAUCCUUUGUGGCACCUCACCCUCUGCUUUGCCACUCAGUCACUUUGCUGUUACGACACUGCCUCUAAUGACAACAGGAUUAUCUUUUCAAACCAG